ensembl:lncRNA
UGUGUGUGUGUGUGUGUGUGUGUGUGUGUGUGUGUGUGUGUGUGUGUGUGUGUGUACCUCAAUAACAUUCUUGCCAGGAUGGUUGGCAGCGAUGAGUUUAUCUCCAUCAUCAUUCAGCUUGGUGACAGUGGCCUCCUUGGACUCCAGACACUUACUGAUGAAGUUCUGGUGGGAGAUUUAAAAGAGAUACAAGUCUCUCUUCACGUUCCAACACACGUAACGUGUAGGAUCAGGUGUCAGAUAACGUGUAGGAUCAGGUGUCAGAUAACGUGUAGGAUCAGGUGUCAGAUAACGUGUAGGAUCAGGUGUCAGAUAACGUGUAGGAUCAGGUGUCAGAUAACAUGUAGGAUCAGGUGUCAGAUAACAUGUAGGAUCAGGUGUCAGAUAACAUGUAGGAUCAGGUGUCAGAUAACGUGUAGGAUCAGGUGUCAGAUAACGUGUAG